rnacentral:misc_RNA from 1 species
GAAGUCUGUGGCUCCAUAC